rnacentral:lncRNA from 1 species
CCGGCUUUCAGUGUAGUCUCCACUGACAUCACAGGGGGUGGGAGAGGCUCAUUAUUGGCAAGCUGGAACAAAAGUUCAACUCCCUACUUGGCUUUCUCUGAAAUCAUCCUGACAGGAUUAUUGGAAAUCCAGACAUGGGAAAUGACUUAUAUGCAAGGCCAUUCAUAUAAUUGCAGCUUUCUUUGUAACAGCAAAUAAAUAUCCAUUAGGAGGAGACCAAUAAAGGGCAAUGAGGAAGCUCUUUAUGUAUUAAAAGAGAAACCCCAUGAUGUAUGAAGGGAAAAAUACAAGGGGCAGCACGACAUAUAUGCCUGGUGCCACGAAGUCAGUGCUCAGCACAUGUUUGUUGAAGGAUGUUGUUGAAGACCCCGCCCAUGGCUGUCCACCAUCUAGUCCAUCCGGAACACCUCAGCACCAAGUUCAGGCUUCCAUCUUCUUGCUGUAGCGAGGUCAGCUUGCGGUGGAAUCCUCAAGGAAAGACUCCCCACAGCAACACAACUUAAACAAAGUGGAUGGAGAGGAGAAAGGAAGGCACUGCCGGCAAUGUGAACGACAUGAGCAAAGUUAGAGGGACAUGGGUAAUGACAGUGAUGAUGAUGUGGUGGUGGGGAUGAUGAGGAUGGCUACCAUUCAUCGAGAGUCUGCUGCGCGCC